rnacentral:rRNA from 1 species
AUGGAUUGGAACCCUCAAGUGCUAUGUUGGAAUGUGAGGGGGCUUAACAACAUGUCUAAAAGGAAUGCCGUGAGGAAUUUCAUUAGUGAAGCUAAGGUUAACUUGGUGUGUCUCCAAGAGGAAAAACUUGAUGUAACAGAUAAUUAUGUGGUUAUGCAAUGCAUAGGGCCAUCCUUCGAUGGCUUUGCUUACUUACCGGCUACGGAUACU